UACAGAGGUGCCAAGCGUUAGGCGGAAUCACUGGGCUUAAAGCGCGCGUAGGCGGAUGUUUAAGUGUCUUGUGAAAUCCCACGGCUCAACCGUGGAACUGCUGGGCAUACUGGACAUCUCGAGGCACUCAGGGGCGAGCGGAACAAGUGGUGGAGCGGUGAAAUGCGUAGAUAUCAUGAGGAAUACCAGAGGCGAAGGCGGCUACCUGGACAAUUGCUGACGCUCAGGCACGAAAGCGUGGGGAGCAAAAGGG
rnacentral:rRNA from 1 species